GUCACUUUGGCGGAGUGGUUAACGCGCUGCCCUGCUAUUUAUACCACGUAAGGCAGUACCUUCGGGUGCGUAGGUUCGAAUCCUGCAGGUGACG